CCGGCGCACGGGUGAGUAACGCGUAUCCAACCUUCCCAUAACUAAGGAAUAACCUGCCGAAAGGCAGACUAAUACCUUAUGUAAUCCUUUGAUGGCAUCAGAUAAGGAUAAAAGAUUUAUCGGUUAUGGAUGGGGAUGCGUCUGAUUAGCUUGUUGGCGGGGUAACGGCCCACCAAGGCAACGAUCAGUAGGGGUUCUGAGAGGAAGGUCCCCCACAUUGGAACUGAGACACGGUCCAAACUCCUACGGGAGGCAGCAGUGAGGAAUAUUGGUCAAUGGACGGAAGUCUGAACCAGCCAAGUAGCGUGCAGGAAGACGGCCCUAUGGGUUGUAAACUGCUUUUGUAUGGGGAUAAAGUCAAUCACGUGUGAUUGUUUGCAGGUACCAUACGAAUAAGGACCGGCUAAUUCCGUGCCAGCAGCCGCGGUAAUACGGAAGGUUCGGGCGUUAUCCGGAUUUAUUGGGUUUAAAGGGAGCGUAGGCCGGAGAUUAAGUGUGUUGUGAAAUGUAGACGCUCAACGUCUGACUUGCAGCGCAUACUGGUUUCCUUGAGUACGCACAACGUUGGCGGAAUUCGUCGUGUAGCGGUGAAAUGCUUAG
rnacentral:rRNA from 1 species